rnacentral:rRNA from 1 species
GGAUUUCCCCUAGUAACUGCGAGUGAAGCGGGAAAAGCUCAAAUUUAAAAUCUGGCAGUCUUUGACUGUCCGAAUUGUAUUCUGGAGAAGCGUUUUCCGCGCUGGACCGUGUACAAGUCUCUUGGAAUAGAGCGUCAUAGAGGGUGAGAAUCCCGUCUUUGACACGGACUACCAGUGCUUUGUGAUGCGCUCUCAAAGAGUCGAGUUGUUUGGGAAUGCAGCUCAAAAUGGGUGGUGAAUUCCAUCUAAAGCUAAAUAUUGGCGAGAGACCGAUAGCGAACAAGUACCGUGAGGGAAAGAUGAAAAGCACUUUGGAAAGAGAGUUAAACAGUACGUGAAAUUGCUGAAAGGGAAACGCUUGAAGUCAGUCGCGUCAUUCGGAACUCAGCCAGGCUUCUGCCUGGUGUACUUUCUGGUUGACGGGCCAGCAUCAGUUUUGACCGCUGGAAAAAGGCCAUGGGAAUGUGGCACCUUCGGGUGUGUUAUAGCCUGUGGUCAUAUACAGCGGUUGGGACUGAGGACCGCAGCACGCCUUUAUGGUUGGGGUUCGCCCACAAUCGUGCUUAGGAUGCUGGCGUAAUGGCUUCAAACGACCCGUCUUGAAACACGGACCAAGGAGUCUAACAUGCCUGCGAGUGUUUGGGUGGAAAACCCGAGCGCACAAUGAAAGUGAAAG